ACGGAAGGCAGCAGUGGGGAAUAUUGCACAAUGGGCGCAGGCCUGAUGCAGCGAUGCCGCGUGAGGGAAGAAGGUUUUCGGAUUGUAAACCUCUGUCAUCGGGGACGAUAAUGACUGUACCCGAGAAGGAAGCUCCGGCUAACUACGUGCCAGCAGCCGCGGUAAUACGUAGGGAGCGAGCGUUAUCCGGAAUUACUGGGUGUAAAGGGAGUGUAGGCGGGACUGUGAGUCAGAUGUGAAAUAUGCCGGCUCAACUGGCAGACUGCAUUUGAAACUGCGGUUCUUGAGUGAAGUAGAGGUAAGCGGAAUUCCUAGUGUAGCGGUGAAAUGCGUAGAUAUUAGGAAGAACACCGGUGGCGAAGGCGGCCUGCUGGACGGUAACUGACGUUGAGGCUCGAAAGCGUGGGGAGCAAACAGGAUUAGAUACCCUGGUA
rnacentral:rRNA from 1 species